rnacentral:rRNA from 1 species
ACGGAAGGCAGCAGUGGGGAAUAUUGGACAAUGGGGGAAACCCUGAUCCAGCGACGCCGCGUGAGUGAGGAAGUAUUUCGGUAUGUAAAGCUCUAUCAGCAGGGAAGAUAAUGACGGUACCUGAAUAAGAAGCCCCGGCUAACUACGUGCCAGCAGCCGCGGUAAUACGUAGGGGGCAAGCGUUAUCCGGAUUUACUGGGUGUAAAGGGAGCGUAGACGGCAAGGCAAGUCUGAUGUGAAAACCCGGGGCUCAACCUCGGGACUGCAUUGGAAACUGUCUGGCUAGAGUGCAGGAGAGGUAAGUGGAAUUCCUAGUGUAGCGGUGAAAUGCGUAGAUAUUAGGAGGAACACCAGUGGCGAAGGCGGCUUACUGGACUGUAACUGACGUUGAGGCUCGAAAGCGUGGGUAGCAAACAGGAUUAGAUACCCUGGUA